rnacentral:rRNA from 1 species
AUUGAACGCUGGCGGCAGGCCUAACACAUGCAAGUCGAACGAGUGGCGGACGGGUGAGUAAUGUCUGGGCAACUGCCUGAUGGAGGGGGAUAACUACUGGAAACGGUAGCUAAUACCGCAUACCAUCAGAUGUGCCCAGAUGGGAUUAGCGUGUUGGUGGGGUAACGGCUCACCAAGGCGACGAUCCCUAGCUGGUCUGAGAGGAUGACCAGCCACACGGGAACUAAGGCACGGUCCAGACUCCUACGGGAGGCGGCAGUGGAGAAUAUUGAACAGUGGGCGCAAGCCUGAUGCAGCCAUGCCGCGUGUAUGGAGAAGGCCUUCGGGUUGUAAAGUACUUUCAGCGGGGAGGCGUUACCCGCAGAAGAAGCACCGGCUAACUCCGUGCCAGCAGCCGCGGUAAUAC